AAUACGUUCUCAUUCUAUAUAGCAAAUUAAAAGGUUUUUCUAGACGCUUUUGGUCGAAUUUCAUUAUACAUUUCGAUAACCUAAGUUUAGAGGCUAUAAAUUCGACUUCCCCAAUUUUGAAUUGAAAACUGGCAACAAAUAUAAUAUAUUUUAUUAUAUUAGCAACUUUUUAUCAACUUUAUUACGUUUUCAUUAUUUAUAACUAGCUAAUAGUUUUUUCUAGACGCUUUUGGAUGAAAUUCAUUCUAUAUUUCUCUUUAAAAAUAACAUAAGUUUGGAUGCAAUAAAGUUCGACUUGCCCAAUUUGAAUAGAGAAGUGUCACCAAAUAUAAUUCAUUUGAUUAAAUUAGCAACUUUAUAUCAUCAUUAGUACGUUCUUAUUCUAUAUAGACAAUUAAAAGGUUUUUCUAGACGCUUUUGGUCAAAUUUCAUUAUAAAUUUCGAUAACGUAAGUUUAGAGGCUAUAAAUUCGACUUCCUCAAUUUUGAAUUCAAAAGUGGCACCAAAUAUAAUUUAUUUGUCUAUAUUAGCAACUUUUUAUCAACUUUAUUACAUUUUCAUUAUUUAUAACUAAAUAGCAGUUUUUUCUAGACACUUUUGGAUGAAAUUUAUAGUAUAUUUCUCUUUAAAAAUAACAUCAGUUUAGAUGCAAUAAAGUUCAACUUGCCCAAGUUGAAUACAGAAGUGUCACCAAAUAUAAUUCAUUUGAAGAAAUUAGCUACUAUAUAUCAAUAUUAUUACGUUCUCAUUCUAUAUAGCCAAUUAAAAGGUUUUUCUAGACGCUUUUGGUCGAAUUUCAUUUUACAUUUCGAUAACGUAAGUUUAGAGGCUAUAAAUUCGACUUCCCCAAUUUUGAAUUCAAAAGUGGCACCAAAUAUAAUUUAUUUGAUUAUAUUAGCAACUUUUAAUCAACUUUAUUAUGUUUUCAUUAUUUAUAACUAACUAACAGUUUUUUAUAGACGCUUUUGGAGGAAUGUCAUUUUAUAUUUCUCUUUAAAAAUAACAUAAGUUUACACGCAAUAAAGUUCGACUUGCCCAAGUUGAAUACAGAAGUGUCACCAAAUAUAAUUCAUUUGAAGAAAUUAGCUACUUUAUAUCAAUAUUAUUACGUUCUCAUUCUAUAUAGCCAAUUAAAAGGUUUUUCUAGACGCUUUUGGUCGAAUUUCAUUUUACAUUUCGAUAACGUAAGUUUAGAGGCUAUAAAUUCGACUUCCCCAAUUUUGAAUUCAAAAGUGGCACCAAAUAUAAUUUAUUUGAUUAUAUUAGCAACUUUUUAUCAACUUUAUUACGUUUUCAUUAUUUAUAACUAACUAAAAGUUUUUUCUAGACGCUUUUGGAUGAAAUUCAUUCUAUAUUUCUCUUUAAAAAUAACAUAAGUUUAGAUGCAAUAAAGUUCGACUUGCCCAAUUUGAAUAGAGAAGUGUCACCAAAUAUAAUUCAUUUGAUUAAAUUAGCAACUUUAUAUCAACAUUAUUACGUUCUCAUUCUAUAUAGCCAAUUAAAACGUUUUUCUAGACGCUUUUGGUCGAAUUUCAUUAUACAUUUCGAUAACGUAAGUUUAGAGGCUAUAAAUUCGACUUCCCCAAUUUUGAAUUGAAAAGUGGCAACAAAUAUAAUUUAUUUGAUUAUAUUAGCAACUUUUUAUCAACUUUAUUACGUUUUCAUUAUUUAUAACUAACUAACAGUUUUUUCUAGACGCUUUUGGAGGAAAUUCAUUCUAUAUUUCUCUUUAUAAUAACAUAAUUUUAGAUGCAAUAAAGUUCGACUUGCCCAAUUUGCAUAGAGAAGUGUCACCAAAUAUAAUUCAUUUGAUUAAAUUAGCAACUUUAUAUCAACAUUAUUACGUUCUCAUUCUGUAUAGCUAAUUAAAACAUUUUUCUAGACGCUUUUGGUCAAAUUUCAUAAUACAUUUCGAUAACCUAAGUUUAGAGGCUAUAAAUUCGAAUUCCCCAAUUUUGAAUUCAAAAGUGGCAACAAAUAUAAUUUAUUUGAUUAUAGUAGCUACUUUUUAUCAACUUUAUUACGUUUUCAUUAUUUAUAACUAACUAAAAGUUUUUUCUAGAAGCUUUUGGAUGAAAUUCAUUCUAUAUUUCUCUUUAAAAAUAACAUAAGUUUAGAUGCAAUAAAGUUUGACUUGCCCAAUUCGAAUAGAGAAGUGUCACCAAAUAUAAUUCAUUUGAUUAAAUUAGCAACUUUAUAUCAACAUUAUUACGUUCUCAUUCUAUAUAGCCAAUUAAAAGGUUUUUCUAGACGCUUUUGGUCCAAUUUCAUUAUACAUUUCGAUAACGUAAGUUUAGAGACUAUAAAUUCGACUUCCCCAAUUUUGAAUUGAAAAGUGGCAACAAAUAUAAUUCAUUUGAUUAAAUUAGCAGCUUUAUAUCAACAUUAUUACAUUCUCAUUCUGUAUAGCCAAUUAAAACGUUUUUGUAGACGCUUUUGGUCGAAUUUCAUUACACAUUUCGAUAACGUGAGUUUAGAGGCUAUAAAUUCGACUUCCCCAAUUUUGAAUUCAAAAGUGGCACCAAAUAUAGUUUAUUUAGUUAUAUUAGCAACUUUUUUAUCAACUUUAUUAUGUUUUCGUUAUUUAUAACUAACUAACAGUUUUUUCUAGACGCUUUUGGAGGAAAUUCAUUCUAUAUUUCUCUUUAAAAAUAACAUAACGAAGGAUUCGACAAUGUGGAUUUAGAUACGAUUUUUUGGACUGACCAUACGACACUCGGGUAGAUUGAGCAGUGAGAUAAACACGGGAACCCAUGGGAUACACUAAAUUAAUAUGCAUCUAGAGCAGUGGUUCAACUUUUCCUUGAUGUAUGGACUUAUGUCCUUAAUUCAGGUUCUGAUAUGGUGACUAUAAGGUUCUGAUAAAGUAAGUCUGUAGGAAAUUAUUUUCUUGCUUUCUAUCUGUCAGUCAUAUGUUGCUUCCUCUGCGUGAUUGGAAGAGAUCCGACCUGUAAUGCAACAUGUGCAACUCCAUUUCUAUGCAUCUUCUUUAUCUGUGCAAUUCUUCCUAUUGGUGAGCCAUAUGCUGUCUCAUCUUCUUGAUUGAAAUGAUCCGACCUAGAACACAACAUAUGCAACAUCUACCUCUCAAUCCCUCUAUCCUAGUUAGUCAUAUGUUGUCCCCUCUACAUGAUUGAAAGCGAUCCAACCUGUGACACAACAUAUGCACCUAUUUCUAAAACUAACUUACUCCUUAAUAAUUG
rnacentral:lncRNA from 1 species